rnacentral:hammerhead_ribozyme from 1 species
GCACAACCGAAGAGUCCCACACUAGGACGAAACGGCCGUUCAGUGC